rnacentral:rRNA from 1 species
GUGCAGCAGGCGAGAAAACUCCGCAAUACACGAAAGUGUGACGGGGCCAUCCCGAGUGCCGUCCGCUGAGGACGGCUUUUCCCCAGUGUACACAGCUGGGGGAAUAAGGAGAGGGCAAGCCUGGUGUCAGCCGCCGCGGUAAUACCAGCUCUCCGAGUGGUGGGGACGCUUAUUGGGCCUAAAGCAUCCGUAGCCGGCUGGGCAAGUUCUCCGUUAAAUCCAACGAUUCAAUCGUUGGGCUGCGGGGGAUACUGUCCAGCUUGGGGGCGGGAGAGGCCGACGGUAUUCCCGGGGUAGGGGUGAAAUCCUAUAAUCCCGGGAGGACCACCAGUGGCGAAGGCUGUCGGCUAGAACGCGCCCGACGGUGAGGGGAUGAAAGCUGGGGGAGCGAACCGGAUUAGAUACCCCUGUAGUU